UAGACAUCUUGUAGCCACAGUGUCUA
rnacentral:piRNA from 1 species